rnacentral:rRNA from 1 species
UACGAAGGGUGCAAACGUUGCUCGGAAUUAUUGGGCGUAAAGCGCACGUAGGCGGCAUUGCAAGUCGGAUGUGAAAUCUUAUGGCUUAACCAUAAAAGUGCAUCCGAAACUGCAGUGCUUGAGUACUUAAGAGGAUCGCGGAAUUCCCGGUGUAGAGGUGAAAUUCGUAGAUAUCGGGAGGAACACCAGUGGCGAAGGCGGCGAUCUGGGAAGAUACUGACGCUGAGGUGCGAAAGCGUGGGGAGCAAAC